UCACAGCUUACUGGAUUCUAUUUGUUUUUUCAGAUAACCUAUUUCAUUGUGACAUGUAUGACUCCCAUGAAACCAUGAAAAAUUGUGAGGGAGAUAUGGGACCUCCAUCACUGACAAUAUCACAAGACAAUGAUUUCGUCUUAAAUAUAGUUCAAAACUUCAGCAGAAGAGAGAGAACAGAGCUGACUUACUGUUCCUGGUGAGGAGCUGAUGAGCUGUAUUAUGUGUAACUGGAGCUUAUGGAAGUCCCUCUGAGCCUUGCAAAUACUGAAUUGCAGUAGCGAAGCUGAGAAAUAGCCGACUGUCAAAUCACUAUCUCAGGACAGCGCCAAAUAGGCACCAGAGCUUGAAAGCACUCUGCAACUGAUUAAAGCGCUCUGCUCAGUGCUAUGCUAGAGAGCCUAUGAAAAAGCAGAUACUUCUUCCAGAAAACAAAGCAGAAUUUAAAACAUCUGUAGGGCUGAGAGUUCAGCAUCACCAUUAUCUAAGUCAGAAGAUUUUUAAAAGGGAGAGAGACCUCUGAGAGGGUGGGGGAGAAAUGUCUGCAGUACAGGGCAGAUGGGAUUCCAAGAAAGGAAAUGUAAGCAUGUGGAAUGACUGAAAACAAAACAGCUACCUGUAGACAGUAAAAAAACCUGCAGAGGAAGCUCAGGAGGAAGAAUAGAGUUCCACAACUGGACAAGCACUGGACAUUGGAUUAUUAUUUUACCAUAGGCUAGUGGUACAGUAUGGACAGCUAAGGGAGCUGCCUAUAGCUGAAAAUGUAUGGAGCUGAAUGUCAAAUAUUCUUAUAGUACCUGCUAUCUUGCAUCUUCUACAAAGUUACCUUUUAAAAACACCCUGUACCUUCUACUUGGAGUAAGAAGAGGUCAGACAACAAUUACUUCAGCAGUGGGAAAAUUUGUGUACAAAAACCAUUUCAGGAUCCAUUUUGUAUCAGGACUGAGACUGUUUCAAGAUGCCGCAAAAGUUAUCCACAGAGACUGAGCAUUUUUGUUCUUUUUUUCUCCUUCAUCCUGGUUUGGGUUUGGUUUUUUUUUCACAGCAUUGUAUAAUAUCUCUCUUAUGACUCAUGGCUUAUCUGACAUCUUCCCAAACAAAACUGCAACAGUUGAGGCUGACCUGAUAAUAAAUUGGACAUGCCUAGUAAGAAAUGUUACUUGUGUGGGAAGUGAGAGCGAGAUUGUUUGUAUAAGACUGGAUUAUGGUACUUCAGAGAAUAUCCCUCAAAUCCAAACACUGGUGAGAAAGCUGUGUGAAAAAGGAUGGGUGUAUAGCUGACAGCAUACCUGCUAAUUCUGUGCUCUUUAGCUGCCAUUGAGAGUGCUUGCAGAAAAACAAAACACAGUUUUGUGGUGUGGAUAGUGGAUCUAAGCCUUUAUACUGCUAUAUCAGUAGUAUAUUUCUUCUCUGAGAGAGUAGUAUUUAUAAAGCAUAAAACUGUACCAGUGUAAGAAAAGAGUGAAACAAAUUUUGAAUGAGGACACAUUUUACUUCUGAGUUGUUGCAAUGAAAUUCUAUCUAUGUUGAAUUCUAUGCCAGUAAUGGUUAUUAAAUACAUUGUAAAAAUGUCUA